UCCCUGGUAGCUCAAUGGUAGAGCAACCGGCUGUUAACCGGUAGGUUGCAGGUUCGAGACCUGCCCAGGGAGCCA
rnacentral:tRNA from 1 species